rnacentral:lncRNA from 1 species
UGGUUUUAUAGUUAGGGGAUAAAGUAUUCUAUCCUAGAUAGUUUGGGGGUUUAUGUAGACUCUUUCUAAACCUAUGUUAUUCUUUCUAAGUAGCAACAAAAUAGGCAUCUCUUUACUCACAAAAAAGACACCAUGUAAAAUCAUAUAGAUUUAAGAAAAAAGGUAAAUGAUUAUUGGGAUUAUUAGCUCACACUUGCAUCGUAUCACCACUCAAAAGAAAAAAAAAUCCAAUUUACCUCUUUUACCGAUCACAUUCAUCUGAUUUUCCUCACUAAACUACAAAACCAGUUCUCUUUACCACUCUCAACUUUUAAAACUGUUUGUUUUGCACCUUAGACAGUUUUAAUAGUGGUUUUGCUAAUGUGAUGCCACAUCAAAGGAGA